rnacentral:rRNA from 1 species
UACGGAGGGUGCGAGCGUUAAUCGGAAUUACGUGGGACGUAAAGGGUGCGUAGGUGGUUUGAUAAGUUAUACUGUGAAAGUCCUGGGCUUAACCUAGGGAGGUCAGAUAAGACUGUUGAGCUAGAGUAUAGGAGAGGGUAGUGGAAUUUCCGGUGUAGCGGUGAAAUGCGUAGAGAUCGGAAGGAACACCAGUGGCGAAGGCGGCUACCUGGCCUAAUACUGACACUGAGGCACGAAAGCGUGGGGAGCAAACAGG